UAAAACGCACCUUGGGUGUUUCAUCAGCAAACUUCGCUAGUCGUUGUCGAGCUUCGGUAUAAAUGCUGUGAGACCAGCAGCUUCCACUUUCUCGCCGCGUGAACUGCUGCAGUGUUCUGUCUGAACUACUCCAUUCGCUCGCCGUGGUCCUCCGCAAUAUAACGCUCGCUCUUUUUUCGCUGCCUCUCUCUCUCUCUCCCUCUCUCGGUCUCGCUCACACUCUCUCUCUCUCCCUCUCUCUCUCCCUCUCUCUCGCUAACAGAAGUGCUGCAGUGACGACAAACAACGUUGGGAGCACGCGCGCGCGACACAAGCCUCUACCGCGCAGAUCGUCCGCACCAACUUACACACACACAUAUAUAUAUAUUUAUAUUUAUUUACCUUCUGGCAACGGCAUGUUUUAUAUGCGAAUACUGAAUGUGGCAGUUGUCACGCUGUUUCUCUUGACCUUACCGUGUUCACACCAGAGGUCGUUGCUAUGGCCGGGCGAUCGUCUGCCGAUGGACCCUGGAAACGCUUAUCGCUUCGUGGAGGACGGCGACACAGAGCAGCUCGCAUUGCUCUACAAGACAAUGAGACAGUACAUCACGUGGGAGAUGUACCGUAAGAAGCUGCUCAAGGUCACAAACGGAUCCGUUGAUCUCUCCCGUCCGCCACCCAGGCAACAACCCGAAUUCGUACAACAGGCAGAAGAUGGCUACAGGCCGUGCCAUUUCAAGAUAUGUGCCGUGGGACGGAAGCAAGCGCGCAUGUUCGUGCGAUGACCGGAAUUUCACACUCUCCCCUCCACGUCGGAAUUGGGUUUUUUGUUUCUUCCCUCUUUGCUGGCGACACGAGCGAGGAUGUCGAUUUUAAAGAUGGCGUAAUUUGCGAUGUUAAUCUUCGCAUCGCGAUGUGUGAGAAACAAAACUAACUAAGCCAGUUCGAGAGUUUCGAUAAGUUAUAAACGACACGAAAAUCUCCCCCAGUACCGACGGAGUGUAAUAUAAAUAAUAAAAAACGACAUUGCAUGAAGCAACGGGAACAUAUUUGCUAACCUUUCUCGAUUCCCCGCUCAAUCACUCUCUCAGUUCUUUCUCACUUGCGCGCGUUUGUGCCGUUCGUAACGUAUUUUAGUAUACGUCCAACGUUUUGUUACCACCUGGGGCUCUCUCGCCGAGACGUUCUUCUUAGACGAUUCGAACUAACACUUUCGCUAGCCUCGUGGGAACGGGUAGCGAGAGAGACUAUAAGAUCGUGCAUGAGUAACUGACACCGACAUGCGAUGGUGGUAAUUUAUUAACGCGGACAGUCUUUAGACGCCCACGCACACAGACACGCCCGCAUGCACCCACGCAUGCACACACACACACAGACACGCAUGCACACACACACAGUGUGUGUGGUUAUCUGUGUGGGUGCAUGAAAACGCGGGCUCCUUCGGUGUCCGCGAUGUGUGUGUGUGUUUGUGUGUGUGUGUGUGUGUGUGUGUGUGUGUGUGUGUGUGUGUGUGUGUGUGUGUGUGUGUGUGUGUGUAUGUGCUGCAAAGAUCGCAUUGAACUGAGCCGUCAAUCUUAUCGCGUAAUUAUAGAGAAAUCGGACGAAGAAUGCAAAAACAUCUCGCGUUUCCCGACAUUUAUGCUUUUAAAAACAUCGCGGAUUCUCAAUCGUGCAGGCAGAUAUCCCGGCUUACCCUUUCACGGGAAAUCCCGGCUUAUGCAUUGGGAUGAGAUUAUGCCUUGGUCGUUUGCCUAGAGAUAGUGUAUUAAUUAUAUUGAAUUUGGAAUUAAUUGCGAAGCUGCUUAGUUACGGUGUGAUAAUGAUGUGCUAAUUACAAGUAACAUUUAUGCAUGGCCGUUACAUUUUAUUCACUGUCCCAUCGGUUAAAUAUACAAACAGAUAAAUAAAAUUAUAUACCUAUCUCUAUCUAUAUGUGUAUUUAUGACUAAGCGUAUUUGUUUCUGAAUACGCCUGAUUUUAGCGCUGAUCAUUGGUUCAAUAUAUAUAUAUAUAUAUAUUCAUAUUCAUAUAUUGAUAUACAUGAUAACUGUCGGAGCGAAACAUUGCUCAUAUGCAUGAUUCAGCGACGCUAGUAAAACACUAGAAAGCAUCGUUACUGUUUCCAAGGACUCAGUUAUACGACAGACGUGAUACAUUAAUAUUCUAUUCAUAGUAUAUUUCUAUGUUAUUUCCCUCGUAUAGUUGUCGGCGUAUUGCAAUUGGUUGCUCCGCAUUUUGCGCAAGAAAAUAUAGCGAAAGGAACGUCCAAUCGCAAAAUUUAGCAACACUCGAGAAAACUGGAAUGCAUUGUAACUGAUUUCAAUGUACUACAACGACAUUUGUAAUAAAAAUCGUAAGCUUUUAUAAGAA
rnacentral:lncRNA from 1 species